AGUGAACGCUGGCGGUAGGCCUAACACAUGCAAGUCGAACGGCAGCACAGUAAGAGCUUGCUCUUACGGGUGGCGAGUGGCGGACGGGUGAGGAAUACAUCGGAAUCUACUUUUUCGUGGGGGAUAACGUAGGGAAACUUACGCUAAUACCGCAUACGACCUACGGGUGAAAGCAGGGGAUCUUCGGACCUUGCGCGAUUGAAUGAGCCGAUGUCGGAUUAGCUAGUUGGCGGGGUAACGGCCCACCAAGGCGACGAUCCGUAGCUGGUCUGAGAGGAUGAUCGGCCACACUGGAACUGAGACACGGUCCAGACUCCUACGGGAGGCAGCAGUGGGGAAUAUUGGACAAUGGGCGCAAGCCUGAUCCAGCCAUACCGCGUGAGUGAAGAAGGCCUUCGGGUUGUAAAGCCCUUUUGUUGGGAAAGAAAAGCAGCAGGUUAAUCCCCCGCUGUUCUGACGGUACCCAAAGAAUAAGCACCGGCUAACUUCGUG
rnacentral:rRNA from 1 species